UGGGACAUGAAGGUGACAUAUUAGCAUUUGAUCUCAAGAAAGUCUCAUAUGCUACUGGAAAACCAUUUCCUUAUCAUUAUCGAAAUUUCUUGGUGAAGAGUGGAGGUAAUCUACUAGCUGUUAUGCUCCUGAAGAGGAGCAACAUGCCUAUCAAGAAAACAUGGCAGCUGGUAGAAUCUUUAAGGGACAAAAUGUUAUUCGUUAGCCGUACAUCAUCUUUUCCAAAACCAUCUCCAGUAAAAGCAGCAGGCAACAAGAUUUAUUUUCUCAAAAUUCGAGGCAAUGACUAUAUAUUCUACUCGCUACCAGAAAAUAUCAUUCCUUUGUGGGAGAUUACUCGAGCGGGAGUCAAAGAAUUGAUGAAUUGUACUUGGAUCGAACUCCAGACUUUUGCACCAUGUAAUCGGGAAAUUGAAUGGUAACACAGUCUGAUUGUUUGCGACACACUUAUGGUUAGCAGCAUAUAAAGUAGAAAUAUAGGUUAUAAAGAUGCUUUCUGUUUUUUCAGCAAAACUAUAUCAUCAGUUUGACAUAUUUUAAAUUUUGUUAAUUGCUAUGAAACUCGAUGAGAAUCAGAUAUGAAACUCAAUGCAAACUUUAUCCAUCUCAAUUCUUAUAUCCAAAGAAUCAGAAAACUCAAAGAUAUGAUGCUUCCGAUCUCCACUCUUUCUCCAUAGAAAGAUCUGGCAUGCUAGGGAUACCCGCAAAAUUGGGACAUUAUACAUUGCACCAAGAAGACCUUGCACAAGCCAAAUACCAGCCAUUGCAGCAAAGAAUAUAUGGGGCGUUUGGCCACGAGAGCUCACCAUAUCUAGUGCCUAUUCCCAAAACUCCACCACUUUUUCUUCUUCCGGUACUCGUUAGAAGUUGUAUCUGAAUCAAGACAAUGAAAAGAGAUGCAUCAAUGCCAUAUAAAAACAUAAUCAUCUAAAAACAUAAUUACAAUGAAAGCUAAUUUUUCACAACUUCCAUAAUUAUUCAUCUAAAAACAUAAUCACACCUUCCAUAAUUAUAUCAGAUGAAGCAAAAAUUGACAAAAAACCAAACUAUAAAUGAAAAAAGCAAUGUAAGGAUCAUUUAAUUUGUAUUUCUCACAUAAAAGUUCACUUUUGUUAGUUAUCAAGUUUGACCAAGCAUUCUCUAACUCCCAAGUGGACUUCAAUAUUAAAUUUAUGUCUUUCUUUCCCAGGAAACAAAUAUGAAGCAAAGGAAGUAAAAGUUACCUCCUUGAAAAUAUAUUGAAUUGUAGUGUACCUCUGCCCAAAAACUCAAGAAAAUUGCUGCACAUAAAGCACAGAUUCUUCAUCAAAAAAAGAUGUUUUAACAAUUUCAUAAGGAGAUUCUCUAGGUGAGCAAUACAAAAAACAAUUGAUAUAGCAAGUUUUUAUAUUAACAAAUUAUUAAGGUUCUGCCAAUCAGGGGUGAGGAACAUAUUAAAUAAAUGUUUAUCUAAUCAGUAACACUAUAUCUUAUCAGGAUUCAUAAGAUUAAUCUUUUCUGACAUUUAUUACCGUUGCAAUACCAAUGCCAUAUAAUAUACACUUAAAGUGAUAUCAUAAAAAGAACAUAUUUGAAACAAGAAAAAAGAGGAAGAAUUUUAGAUUUUCCUGAUAACAGAAACAAAUAUAACCGGCAAAAAGAUCCACAGAAAAUGUCACUGUAGCUUCCACUUCACGAUGGGGAAAAAUUACAAUAUUACCUCCUUUAGACUUCUGGUUGAUAGGCAGAAUCUCGAUGUAGCAGGUGUCCUUAAAAGAGGUCAUAACAAGUAUUUUCACACCAUACUGCAAUUGAUACUUUGCAGUGUUAGAAUGGAACAAAACAAAUCUAUACUUUUAUAACGGUAUGGAAAAACAUAAUUGCAUACAGAACUUUUGCUUCAAACUAAAAUGGCACAUAUAACACUCGGCAUGCUGGUUUAACCAAAUCUCAAAAACAUUUUCAUAGCUUAACUUGAACAAGGGAACAAUUUAUAACACCAUAACUUCAAGUAUUACUCUAAGAUCAAGUAAAACAAAAUCCCUGUCCUUCGUAGAAAAAAUAGAAGUCCUCAUGUUAUCUGUACUGAGCACAGUUAGCCUGGUUGGUACACCAAGGAAAAUCUUAGGAGAGAGUCAUGGUGCAAUAACCAAGCCCUGCAUCCCACGGAACCAAAAAGAAAAAAAAAAUCAUUAUUGUCCGUACUGAAUCUGCAGCUGCCUGCAAUGUGACAUGAUCUCCCCACUCCCCACUCUUGGACAUCUUCUUCAAAUAGUCACCAUAUUCCAUGGGUACAUACCCUUCAUAUAUCUCCGGGUGAGAUCUCAGCUGAUGAUUAGAUAGCAUUAAAAUGAAUCCAUCAGGUCACAUGGGACAUCUGUUGUAACCAACUCAAUAAAAAUUCAGUUCAAUUAAUAACAAAAGGUUCACUAAUAAAGCAAACCUGAUUUACAAUGUGUUGCCUCACAACUUUAUGGCGAUCAGGCGUGUUGUACAAUUGAUCUGAUAAAGCACGAAACUGACAAUUACCAUCCCCUUGAACCUUGACCUCAAAAAAGUCAUAUACCUGUAAUCUAUUAAGAAGUCUUUCAUGAUCUGAAGUUGCUUCAUCAAUUGAAGGUAUUUCUCCAUUGAUUCUAGGA
rnacentral:misc_RNA from 1 species